AUUGAACGCUGGCGGCUAGGCCUAACACAUGCAAGUCGAGCGGUAACACAGAGAGCUUGCUCUCGGGUGACGAGCGGCGGACGGGUGAGUAAUGUCUGGGAAACUGCCUGAUGGAGGGGGAUAACUACUGGAAACGGUAGCUAAUACCGCAUAACGUCGCAAGACCAAAGUGGGGGACCUUCGGGCCUCAUGCCAUCAGAUGUGCCCAGAUGGGAUUAGCUAGUAGGUGGGGUAAUGGCUCACCUAGGCGACGAUCCCUAGCUGGUCUGAGAGGAUGACCAGCCACACUGGAACUGAGACACGGUCCAGACUCCUACGGGAGGCAGCAGUGGGGAAUAUUGCACAAUGGGCGCAAGCCUGAUGCAGCCAUGCCGCGUGUAUGAAGAAGGCCUUCGGGUUGUAAAGUACUUUCAGCGAGGAGGAAGGCGUUAAGGUUAAUAACCUUGGUGAUUGACUUU
rnacentral:rRNA from 1 species